GACGAACGCUGGCGGCGUGCUUAACACAUGCAAGUCGAACGAUGACGACCGAGCUUGCUCGGUCUGAUUAGUGGCGAACGGGUGAGUAACACGUGAGCAACCUGCCCUUCACUCUGGGAUAACCUCGGGAAAUCGGGGCUAAUACCGGAUAUGAGCUCCUGUCGCAUGGCGGGUGUUGGAAAGUUUUUCGGUGAAGGAUGGGCUCGCGGCCUAUCAGUUUGUUGGUGAGGUAGUGGCUCACCAAGGCGAUGACGGGUAGCCGGCCUGAGAGGGCGACCGGCCACACUGGGACUGAGACACGGCCCAGACUCCUACGGGAGGCAGCAGUGGGGAAUAUUGCACAAUGGGCGAAAGCCUGAUGCAGCGACGCCGCGUGAGGGAUGACGGCCUUCGGGUUGUAAACCUCGUUCAGCAGGGAAGAAGCGAAAGUGACGGUACCUGCAGAAGAAGCGCCGGCUAACUACGUGC
rnacentral:rRNA from 1 species